AGUCUCCUACGGGACGCAGCAGUAGGGAAUCUUCCACAAUGGACGAAAGUCUGAUGGAGCAACGCCGCGUGAGUGAAGAAGGGUUUCGGCUCGUAAAGCUCUGUUGGUAGUGAAGAAAGAUAGAGGUAGUAACUGGCCUUUAUUUGACGGUAAUUACUUAGAAAGUCACGGCUAACUACCUGCCCGCAGCCGCGGUAAUACGUAGGUGGCAAGCGUUUUCCGGGUUUAUUGGGCGUAAAGCGAGUGCAGG
rnacentral:rRNA from 1 species